rnacentral:rRNA from 1 species
GAUGAACGCUGGCGGCGUGCCUAAUACAUGCAAGUCGAGCGAACAGACGAGGAGCUUGCUCCUCUGACGUUAGCGGCGGACGGGUGAGUAACACGUGGAUAACCUACCUAUAAGACUGGGAUAACUUCGGGAAACCGGAGCUAAUACCGGAUAACAUGUUGAACCGCAUGGUUCAACAGUGAAAGACGGUCUUGCUGUCACUUAUAGAUGGAUCCGCGCCGCAUUAGCUAGUUGGUAAGGUAACGGCUUACCAAGGCAACGAUGCGUAGCCGACCUGAGAGGGUGAUAGGCCACACUGGAACUGAGACACGGUCAAGACUCCUACGGGAGGCAGCAGUAGGGAAUCUUCCGCAAUGGGCGAAAGCCUGACGGAGCAACGCCGCGUGAGUGAAGAAGGUCUUCGGAUCGUAAAACUCUGUUAUUAGGGAAGAACAAAUGUGUAAGUAACUAUGCACGUCUUGACGGUACCUAAUCAGAAAGCCACGGCUAACUACGUG